CUAAUACCCAGUGGAGUGCAUUAACUCUUAUGAUUGCUUAAAUUGAUUUUACUGUUUUAUCAGUUACUAUUGAACAAAUGAAAGGAUGCUGAUGAAGCAGUGUACUGUAGGCUUGUCUGCAAAGUUUCUCUUGGAGUCAUCUCCAUAUGAAUGAUUUCAUACAGCACAGAAAUAGUUUUAUGUAGAUAUUGACCUUGGAAAGAAACAAAACCAUGGCUUGGUAUUGAGGUUAGGUACAUGGAUCACGAAUUGCCCUGCAAAGAGAAGGCUCUAAUGAGGGUGUCACCAGCCUGCGUCCUCCAUGUUGGUGUGUGGUGGCCACGGCCGGCUGGCAGGUGCUGCGGAGCUGCACCCUCCCCUCCUCAGCAGGUCGGGCAGAAACCAAAGUGGAAAAGUCUGUGGUAGAGAGGAAGCCAGGAAGAUGGCUUAGCAGUUACUGGCAUGUGCAGAUAGACUCAGCUUGGGGACAAUUAGUUUAUUGCCAAUUAAAACCAGAUUGGCCCAGUCAUGGCCUGAGGUGGGGCUGUUGGCACCUGCUGUGACAGGUCUGGGGCAGCUGCGGCCUGUCCUCACAGCACCCUGCAGGCCGCAGUGCGUCAGCACCCCAAAUACUGUGGUGAAACAGCUUGGUAGAUGAACAUGUGCGCUGACCCAUGCAGCUGGUGGUUGAGAGUCUAUAGCCUGCUGAGGGCCUGCUGCUCAGGGAAUGAGGAGGGAAGAGCAGGUGCCGUGGGGAGUAUUCUAAUGGUAGAAGCCUCUGCAAAUUGCCGGAGUGGAAAAAAGGUCUGAAGGAAAGGACGUCCCACCUUCCUUCCCUACAUGGACACAGAUUUGAGGUUCCAAUUAAAACCGUGUUUGGGCCAUUGCUUUGCCUGCCAGUGCUUAAUCUUCUCCGAAAGCCUCAUCACUUAUCUAAAACAAAAGAAGAACGAGGUUCCCAGAGAGUUUAUGGAAGAUUGAAAGAUAACAAUAAAAUGGUGACAAUUCUGUUUAGGACAAUGAAUUACAUUCCUCCCGUGUUUUGUGCACACACUUUCUGCAGACAAAAAGUGACCUCCUAAAUCUAAAUGCUAGCUUUCUUUAUUCACUGAUUCUUCAUUUACUUUCUCUUGUACGUCGUCUGUACGUUUGUACAUCUGCUUAAUAAAUAAAUAAAUAGACUUUA
rnacentral:lncRNA from 1 species